rnacentral:rRNA from 1 species
CUACAGAACGAACGCUGGCGGCAGGCUUAACACAUGCAAGUCGAACGCCCCGCAAGGGGAGUGGCAGACGGGUGAGUAACGCGUGGGAACGUGCCCUUCGCUUCGGAAUAGCCCCGGGAAACUGGGAGUAAUACCGGAUACGCCGUAUUGGGAAAGAUUUAUCGGCGAAGGAUCGGCCCGCGUUAGAUUAGCUAGUUGGCGGUGUAAUGGACCACCAAGGCUACGAUCUAUAGCUGGUCUGAGAGGAUGAUCAGCCACACUGGGACUGAGAUACGGCCCAGACUCCUACGGGAGGCAGCAGUGGGGAAUCUUGGACAAUGGGCGCAAGCCUGAUCCAGCCAUGCCGCGUGAGUGAAGAAGGCUUAGGUUGUAAACUCUUUCGCCGGAGAAGAUAAUGACGGUAUCCGGAGAAGAAGCCCCGGCUAACUUCGUG